GUAUUGGUGGCCCAGUGGUAGAGCUCCCGCCUGCCACGCCGGCGGCCCGGUUUGUAUCCCGGCCAAUACC
rnacentral:tRNA from 1 species